AGUGAUAUAGGUAAUAUUAAAACUAAAAUUCCACCGUCCUAUAAAAGGACAUUAAAACUCGAAAUCUAAUUUCCUUGGCCUUUGAAUAUAUAUCACCUCUCCAAAUCUAUAAUAAACAAAACAAUUCUGUUUCUCGGUUUGUGUCGAACUGUGCGGGGUAUUCCCGGAAAAGUUAGGGCAGGGGGAAGAGUUUCUCAAUUGCUUAGAACCACCACCGGUGCCACAAUCUCUCUCUAUCUCUUUCUCUCUUCGACGACCAGGUCUCUCCCUCUCUCUCUCUGAUAUGUACUGGUUAUUUUUUCAAAGUUCAAACCUUUGUAGUGAUGAACAGUGAUGUUUUAGGAUUUGAAUAGACAAAGCUGUAAUUGAGUUUUAGAAUUGAUGAAGUAGUUUUAAUCUUAAUAAGGGAACCAAUUGUUACUUCCCCAUUAACAGAAUCCCAGUAAAGCUCAAUUAAGCAAUCCCCUUUUAUAUUAAGAAAACAAGGUAUCAACAAAUUAAAUUAAAUCCAAUUUCACCAAAACCAAUCAGGUUGUUCUACACCAAAUUUGUUUUUUGAAUAAUUGGUUAUGGAGUCUUGUUUAUUUUACUACAAUAGAUGUAUCUUUGUUAGUACUUUACAAGCUAUUUAUUAAAUUUCAUGCUUCCUUAAUUGGUUAAUUACUAACAAGAUAUGUAAUUGCUUGAUGAUUUUUGAUUUCUUUUUAUAUUGCAAAAUUAAACCUUUUUGUGGUUUUGCUUGAUGAAAUCUUAUUAAAGUGUCGUUAAAGUAAUGGGGAAUUCCAACUUUUUGUCACACAUUAAUCUUUUGUUGAGACAACAAACUACUGCAUCUUGAGCCCUAUCCAGUUUUUCGGCCAAUUACCCCUUCGUACUACCCAAAAAUGAGAUUAUUACCGAAUCCUAGUUUGUUGCUCCAACCAUUACCAAACUAAUAUCUAUUUCAUUUAGUACCUUGCUAACAUAAACUUGUGUACAACGGUAAGCUGUUGUUAGUGUACACCACUAGACAAACUAGAAUGAACAUGAUCUCAGAACAUAAUUCUUCAUAUUUGAACCCAAAAUUUAGGUGAACAUAGGGUAUCCAUGAGAUGGUGUAUAUGUGAGUGGCUAACACUACCACCAAUGUGUGGUGGAGAAUAGCUCGAUAACUUCUCGACAUUUGUUCGAGUAUCCAACAGUUCGUAUGUGUCCUUCCUAUAGUUCAAGCCCUUCUAGAGACUUUGCUUUAUGAGACCAUUAGUUUAUACCAUGCAAAAGAACUCUUAAUUACUUUGCCUUACGUACACUGACUAGCAAGGGCCAUAAUCCAUGCUUAUAUUUCAUUUUUACAUUUUAUGCUCUUAAUUUUGUUUGAUCUUAUGCCCUCAAUUUUGUUUGAUUUUAUGUGCGAGUGUAAUUGUCAUGCACAUUAGUUGUGUUUUUUUUUCCAGUAAAUGGUUUUGUUUUCACCGUGACAUAUCAGAACUUAAAACCUUGUCUCCUAUUUUCCCCCCUGUUCUUAUGUGUUAGAGCAUGCAUUUUUCUUUGUUUUUUUUUUUUUUUUUUUUUUUUUGCAAAGGCAAACGGUUUAUAAUAUAUAUAUAUAUAUAUAAAUGAAAAAUAAAUAAUUACAUCAGUUUCAUAGGGUUCCAGUCUUCACUCUCUACUAGUAGAGAUUGCCUUUUACAAAAUCCUACGAUAGAUUACUUUGUCCCUAUCCUGGUCCAGUAGAUGAGCUAGUUUGUCAUCCAUGGGUUCAAUGAACCAGGUGCAUCUUUCAGGCCCUGUUAAUCCUGCUAAAUAGUUUGCUGGAUAGUUAGUUUCUCUGAAAACAUGUAUCAUUUUGCAGUCCACCAGCAGUCCACUUAGUUCCUGAAUCUCCUGUAUUAAUUUUCUUGUGUACCAAGGAUCUUUUGCUCUCCUAUGAACAAUAAAAAAAAAUAAGUGCUUGAUGUUUUCUCCUUGGCCCUGGCAUAAACAACAUUUUGAAUGAUCAAGUAUCACAAACAUUUUGAAUGCAUUUAACAAUAUAAGUUAUCUCCCAUUUUAUUUUAUUUUAUGGCUUUUUUUGUGCUGGUGGGGAAAUCCCUAAUUAUAGUACAGUCCAAUUACGCGACAAGAGCACAUUUGUGUUAAAUUAAUUUUCGCUGGAAUCCCAUUGUGGUAUGUUUUACCUAUUAGAUUUAUUAUUUAUUUGCAGGAGUUGUACGACGACAUUAUACAAUCUGAACCAAGUACUUCAGAACUCAUUUGGAUCCCAAAGAGUGCAACUGUGCAAUUUGAUUGGGUGAAGUGUUUUGAAUUUCAGUAGGUGAAGAUAUAAACUUGGUUCAGUAAUCAUUUUUAUAUAAUUACCUUAUCUAACUCAUCAUCUUUUUUAAAGUGCCCUCAUGAUAUUCAAAAGGGUGGAGGAAAAAAAAGUAGUAUCACCAACAUGCAUGUAUUUAUGUAUAUUGUUUCAAUAUUCUCAAGUAAAGAGUCUGGUUACUAAGAAGAAUUUCUCAAAGAAUGAUAUUGACGAGCUUUGGGUCGAAUUUAUUGAAUUUGUCGAAUAUUGUAUGGGGGAAUAUGCAAAAGAAUGAAUGGAGUGUUAGGCUUUAUAUAUAAGUAGUUAGUUGUUUUUUUUUUUUUUUUUUUUUUUUUUUUUCUGGUUAAAGUGGAUAUAUCGUAUAUUAUUGAUGAUGGGUUUUUAUUUUUGUUUGGAUUAUUUUUGUCAAUGCUUUGUAAAGAACGAGACCGACAUUUUGGAGUAUUUUCAAUGAAAUUAUUUUUUUGAGCAGGUUUUGUGUGUUUAAACAAGUUUUAUGUUUUAAGCAGGUUUUUUUGUUGAAUAUCAGGAUUUAUUUUUUUAUUUUUUAAAAAAAAACAAACAAUAUAUAUCACGGUCUCUGAGCAUCAGUGCUCUUACUAACAAAACUGUGAUAUAUUAGUCAAUUAUAUAUCACGGUUUUAUGAUAUAUAUCACUGUUUUAUGCUUCAUUUAUCACAGUUUAGAUAAUUGAGAUUGAUUUGAUUAAAAACUAGAUAUGAUAGUUACUAUUAGAACCGUGAUAUAUACUACUACUUAUAUAUCACGGUUUUGAAAGAUUAUAUAUCACGCCACUAUUUAGCACGGUUUUGAGGCUAGCUUGGAACCGUGAUAAAAAUGUUUUUAUCACACUUAAUAGCAGUGAUAUAUGUACUUUUCUGUAGUAGUAGUAAUAGUUAAGGUUUAGGUAGCUUUUUAUGAAUUGAAGAAAAGUUCUUCUUCUUCUUCUUCUUUGUAUUAAACUCAAUAUUCAAUAUAAAUUCCAUUAUCUUUUCCAUUAUGAUGUUUGUUAAUUUAUUUAUUUAUUCUUUGGUGUCAUCAUCAAGGAUGAGUAGCUAAAUCUCCUUAGGGGGAUGGUGGAAGCACUCUAGAUGAUGCGAAAGCACCAUGUUAGUUCUUAUUGUUCAUUGUGAUUCAAAGUUCUUAAUGUUUAUAUACUUUUAUUCGCGAUAUGAGGUAAGUAUGAUUAUUUGCAUGUUUUUGUUAUCCAUGUUGUUAAAAUAUUAUUGUUAGGGUUUAGGGAGACCUAGCUUUGGUGAUAGUAUUUAUAUUUAUUGUAGAUGUGUAGGAAAAUAGCUGAGAGGUGAUUAUUACAUAUUUGCAGUAUAUAUCUUUUAUUAUUGGAACCCUUUUGUAUUUAAAUUGAUAUUCGAGAGGUGACAGUUUAUUUAUGAAUUAAUAUGUUGAGUUAAUUAGAUUGAAUAGCUGAGAAAUGACGGUUUAAUUAAUAAGACAUUCAAUUGGAUGCAUAAGAUAAUCCCGUUUUAAUUGAGUGGAAUAGCUGAGAGGUGACUACUUGAUUAUUAUAGGUAUUAGUGAUUAGUUGGAAUAACCGAGAGGUGACUAAUUAAUUAUUAUAGAUUGAAUAUGAAGGAACUACAUGUUAUGUUUGCAUGAUUUAGUUUGUGGAUACCAACUUUCCCCCUAUGUCAUCAUGUAUCUUCUUUACAUCUCUACCAUAUUCUUAAGUUAGGGUUUACUAUUUAUUUUUGCCUGUAGGAAGUAGAAUCAAUCUCCAAUCUUAUUAUUGAUUCCCUUGGUGUUUCUUAACCAUUGUUUUCUAUUGUGUUUGAGCUAAGAUCUCCCCCUCUGAGGUGGGUACGACCCUUGCUUGUUACCUGUCUACUUUGAUUUCCAAUUUAUAUAGGCACAAAAAGAAACUUCAUUAUAAAUCUAUAUUUUGAUUAAUAGACGUAAAAAAUCUAUCAUCAUGUAUAUGUGAGCGGCUAACACUACCACCAAUGUGUGAUGGAGAAUAGCUCAGUAACUUUUCGACAUUUGUUCGAGUAUCCAACUGUUCAUAUGUGUCCUUCUUAUAGUUCAUGCCCUUCUAGAGACUUUGCUUUAGGAGACCAUUAGUUUAUAUUAUGCAAAAGAACUCUUAAUUACUUUGCCUUACACUGACUAGCGAGGGCCAUAAUCCAUGCUUAUAUUUCAUUUUUACAUUUUAUGCUCUUAAUUUUGUUUGAUCAUAUGCCCUCAAUUUUGUUUGAUUUUAUGUGCGAGUGUAAUUGUCAUGCACAUUAGUUGUGUUUUUUUUCUCGAGUAAAUGGGUUUGUUCACCAUGACAUAUAAAAACUUAAAAACUUGUCUCCUAUUUUUUUUUCCCUGUUCUUAUGUGUUAGAGCAUGCAUUUUUUUAUAUAUAUAUAUAAAUGAAAAAUAAAUAAUUACAUCAGUUUCACAGGGUUCCAGCCUUCACUCUCUACUAGUAGAGAUUGCCUUUUACAAAAUCCUACUAUAGAUUACUUUGUCCCUAUCCUGGUCCACUAGAUGAGCUAGUUUGUCAUCCAUGGGUUCAAUGAACCAGGUGCAUCCUUCAGGCCAUGUUAGUCCGGCUAAAUAGUUUGCUGCAUAGUUAGUUUCUCUGAAAACAUGUAUCAUUUUAUAGUCCAUCAGCAGUCCACUUAGUUCCUGAAUCUGAUGUAUUAUCUAUCUUGUGUACCAAGGACCUUUUGCUCUCUUAUGAACAAUAAAAAAAAAAGUGCUUGAUGUUUUCUCCUUGGCCCGGGCAUAAACAACAUUUUGAAUGCAUUUAACAAUUUAAGUUAUCUCCCAUUUUAUUUUAUUUUAUGGCUUUGUUUGUGCUAGUGGGGAAAUCCCAAAUUAUAGUACAGUAGAAUUAUGCGACAAGAGCACAUUUGUGUUAAAUUAAUUUUUGCUGGAAUCCCAGUGUGGUAUGUUUUACCUAUUAGAUUUAUUAUUUAUUUGUAGGAGCUGUACGACGACAUUAUACAAUCUAAACCAAGUACUUCAUAACUCAUUUGGAUCCUAAAGAGUGCAACUGUGCAAGUUGAUUGGGUGAAGUGUUCUGAAUUUCAGUAAGUGGAGAUAUAAACUUGGUUCAGUAAUCAUUUUUAUAUAAUUACCUUAUCUAACUCAUCUUUUUUUUAAAGUGCCCUCAUGCAAUUCAAAAGGGUGGAGGAAAAAAAGUAGUAUCACCAACAUGGCAUUCUGAUAAGGUAAUCUCCUUGUAGAUAAGCAUAAUUAAUCACUUCAAUUCCUUCAUAAUUUUGACUUAUAUAUAUAUUUUAAGAGUUGCCUCCAUAUAGGUCCCUCGACAACCAAACCUUAAGGAAUGUGGUUUUUAUUGUAUGAAGCUCAUGAGAGAAUUAAUGGGGGAUUCAUCUCAUCCAUGGAAAUGAGGGUAUGUCUUGUUUUAGAUAAGUAAUAUAUAUAUAUAUAUAUAUAUAUAUAUAUAUAUAUAUAUAUAUCUAAGUUAUAAGACACAAAGGGUACAUAAGUUGGGGAGACAGUUUUGACGAAAAGACAAUUUUGAGAUAUUUUGGACCGUCUGAUUUUAAAUCUGAUACAGAUUGACGUCAGAGAUUAGAUUUUUGACUUAAGUAGAUGGUCCAGGUAGUUUUAAUGGGCUUGGACUAAAUUCGGAUAAAAAAAGGGCCAGUUUCAACGUUGCAUUAUAACCAUCAAAGCCCUAAUCCAAAUUUCUUUCUAUCUUCCUGUUAUUCUUCUCUCACCAAACCUUAUUCUCUCUUCCGCUAUCUUUCUCUGUUUUUUUCUCGGUUAAUACUACUCUGGUAAGUAUAUCUUCAUUCACACAUGUUCAAUCAAUUUAAUGGUUUUAGAAAUUUCAAUAUUAUUUUAAUAUUUAGUAUUUACUGAAUUCAAUCAAUCUCCUAUCUACUCUUUCAUGAUGUUAAAGCUUAAUCUGAUAAAUUUCGUAAGAAAAUUGUAUAUUAUUAUCGAUCAAUUUGCUUUUCUUUCUUUAUAUCUCUCAAUUAAAUCUGGCCAAUGGUAAAGUUUUAAUUUUUUUUUCAUGGGUUGGCUUGUAGUUAUCGUUAGACCUCCAAUCGUUUUCAUCAUCUACUUCAUCAUGCAUUAUCUUCAUAUGGUUUAGUUGCUGCUACUGCCAAAAUCACUUAAGGGGGAUUUUGUUACAGCUUUGUUAAAGGUAUUGAUAAAACAAUAAACCCUAAUUAAAAAUUAUUUUGAAAGCAAUACGAAACCUAUUAGAUGAAAUACCAUAAACUCACAUCAGUGAUAAAACAAUACGAAACCUCCUUCUCUCCUUCUCUUCUCUUCUCAGCGAAGCUUCCUCCUCAAGCUGCUGCUGCUGCCUGCUGGCCAUUCUUCUCCUCCUCAUCAAGUUUAAGGUAACUCAAUUACUCUAAAAAUAAAGACUAAUUCUUCUUAACAUGCGUCUUCUUCUUUUAAUUAUUCUCUCUCUCUCUCUCUCUCUCUCUCUCUCUCUCUCUCUCUCUCUCUCUCUCUCUCUCUCUCUCUCUCUCUCUCUGCCCCUUUCUCUCAUAAUAUAAUCGUUCAAAAGGUAUGUCAAAUUUAGUCUCUCUAAAGGUUAUUUUCCUGAAAUUGUUAUCAAUUUUAGUCAUUUUAUUAUGGUUAUCCAAGUUUUUAUUUAAUUUUGAUUGCUGCUGUUAUUCCGAAAAUGAGUAAACUGUAGACAAUUUUAUCAAUUUUAGUUAUAAUACGAGUAAACUGUUACUUUUCUUUAUCUGUUGGCUGUUGCACUGGUUUUUUUUUUUUUUUUGGUGUGUUGCUUAACAGAUAAGGCUCUGUUUGGCAGUUUGUAUGUUAGUUAUGCUUAUGUUCCAUGAUGGUCGUGACUCUGCUCACGUUUUACGAGCCUUAUCUAUGCUUUUAGUGAUUAUUAUUUGCAAAAUAAUUUUUUUUUUUUUUUUGCCAUAUGAUUUUUCAUCAAAUUAGUAUUUAGAUUGAGUUAAAACCUACGCCUUUCAGUCAUUCUUGCUUUAGAAAAUUAAUAAAAUAAACCUGUGGCAUCACACAAAGAAAUCAAACCCGUCCGCUUCCCUCUCCCUUCCCUCUUAAUUAAUUUGUUCGUUUGCAUUUGAGUAACUAGGUUUUCUGAGACCAUUUACAUUAAUCCAAGUCAUUAAUAGGAAAUAGAAAAUGUUAAAAGACAAAUGAAAAAUUAUAGUAAAUUCAUUUUGUGGAUAUAUAACUUCCCAGAACCAUGUUACAAAAGUAGUUCAUAUAAUUGUUUAAACUUUUCGAUGCUUUUGUGAUAGAGGUAUGUCCAUUUAACACCCUUAGAUGUAAGAGGUAAUUAGAAAACUUAGGAAUGGGUUGCACUCUGGUAAAUAGGGACAGAUAGCCCAUUGAAAUAGGUAUAAUGGUGUUUAGACCAUCAACUUGGUUUCCUUGCAACAUCUAACACCAAUAAAUCUUGAGCUGCCUGUCCUGUUCACAGCCACCAUAAGAUACCACACAGCCAUACCAUUCUAAACAGUUAAGGCUAUUCNNNNNNNNNNNNNNNNNNNNNNNNNNNNNNNNNNNNNNNNNNNNNNNNNNNNNNNNNNNNNNNNNNNNNNNNNNNNNNNNNNNNNNNNNNNNNNNNNNNNNNNNNNNNNNNNNNNNNNNNNNNNNNNNNNNNNNNNNNUGUUUGGCUGGAAUAAAAUUUCAGGACAUCGGAACCUCUCAACCACAAUAUUGAUAUGGAAAUCUUCCUUUGUAGGAGGACGGAUGUGGGUAACAAUUUGGUAAGAACUUGAAUCCACCUUAGGAAUGAAAUUUGGAUCAAUGUUCUACCAUGCAACAUUCUGGCAGAAACAAAAUAAUGCAUAAACAGUGAGACAGGAGGACCUAAUAGAAUCAAAUACAAAUGGACACUAAAUUAAAUAGAAUGCCAAAACAUAACAGAUAAAAAUAAAAAUAAUGACCCGGAGUCGUGAUGUAAUAGGUGAACAAGUAGGUCUUCCUUCAAUAUUAUUUGGUCACAUUCCCUAUUUCGCUGUAAUAAUAUAGUCUAGAUUGUGUACACUAAAUUAAAAUGGACACUAAAUUAAAUAGAAUGCCAAAACAUAAAAGAUAAAAAUACAAAUAAUGACCUGGAGUCGUGAUGUAAUAGGUGAACAAGUAGGUCUUCCUUCAAUAUCAUCUGGUCACAUUCCCUAUCUCGCUGUAAUAAUAUAGUCCAGAUUGUGUACAGUUAUGCUUUUGGUAUUGAUACCUAUUUCAUUUAAUUAGUAUUAUUGUGGGUAUCAGUUAUUCUAUGUGUUCUUCUCAAUGCAUGUUCACCUAUUUGAGCGUUUGUGUUUGAUUAAUAGACUAUGAUUGAGUGGUUUGACAUAUAGACAACUUACUUUUUAUCUAAAUAUUAUCUAAAUAAAAUUGGUUACAGUCCAAUUUUUGUGUUAAAUUAUUAAUUGCUUUAUUGUGGUUUUUACAUACGGGGUCUGGUAGGAUUUGGUUUGUCGAUCACUUCUAACAGAAUUGUUCUUGAUGGAAGUCACCAAAGAUAAUAAUUUUGAUCAUAUGUGCUUGAUUGGGGUUGUUUGAUUUUACUCAUUGUUUUUUUUGUUUUUUUUUUUUUUUGUUGUUGGUGUUGUUGUGGAUACUUAGAUUUCACUUUUCCAAAUACAUGUUUAAUUUUUUCAAAUUGACAUUUAAUCUUUUAAUGAUUGUUGUUAAUUUUUUUCUAAUUGAUGGUAUAUCUUCCUCUCUGUCAAAGAUCACAUUGACAGAGAGAGCCUUAAGCUAAAACCUAAUCCUAAUUGACUGUAUUGGUGGUGCUUACACUAAAACCUGAGCUAGAGAAAGACCAUAAAAUAGAGGCAGUAAAAUUACACAAAUAAAAUCCCUUUCUUUUUCUUUUUCAUGCUUUAUUAGGGUUUUGCUUUAGCAAAUUUACUCUUAUAAAGGUGAAAGUGUAAUUUGUAUUAUGGUUUUUCUUUGUGGUAGGUUCAAAGAGAAUCAAUUUGCAAAUUCUUCAGAUUUAGGUAGUAAAUAGGGGUGUUAUUCGAGCCGAGCGAGCCGAGCUUUGAAUGCUCAUACUCAGCUCGUUUUAAUACGAGCCGAGCUCGAGCCGAGCCCAAUUUCUGAAUCGAGCCUGGUUUUAUGUUCAAGCUCGGCUCGCGAGCUAUUUAUCAAGCUCGAGCUCGUUAGGCUCGUUUAGCUCGAGCCCUCCAAGCUCGUUUAGCUCGAAUCAAGCUCGAACCCUCCACCUGAUCAGUGCUUGUGUCGCUGAUCAUCAACAGAUCGCUUUCCUUGGUCUCAGUUGCCGGUUGGUUGCCAUAGUUACGGACAUGACGAUGUCUAAGGAUGUAGGAAGAUUUUCUAACACCGCACUUAGUGUUUACUGAUCUCAUGACCAAGUUUGAGUUUUGAUGGCCAUCGUGAAAGUGGGGUUAUUGUAAUAGUGGUGAUCCACAAAGCAUCAUUAGAACGGGGGAUCUGAUUUUGGAUAUGCCUGGUUGUGUUAAGAAUUUUGAGAUGAUUGGAGAUGGAUUGAGAGAGAGUGUUUAUGUGAGUUUCCAUGGAGUGUAUGGGUAGAGAGACUAGAUUCAAGAUAAGUUGUGGAAAAUUUGGAUCUAUGGGUAUGAUAGAUUUUGAUGGUUCGAGAUCUAUGGAGAGUAAUUUGAUCCAAAGGUUUUGAUGAGGCAUGGUGGGUAUUACACUGGAGAGAAGAUUUGGUUUAUGAAUUUAGCAAGUUCAGGUAUGGUAAUUUGAAAUCGUGAUGGAUUAAUUGAACUAUGAUAGGAUUAUGUAUAUGGUAACUGAGACGACUUGUUAAAGCAAUUAGGGGGUUGUGUUGCCAGCAAUGAUUGUACUAUUUAUAGGGAUUUUUCCGGCUACUAAAUCUUGAUGAAGAUUUGAGAAGGUUAAAUCACUUGUAGGCCCCUGUUGUACUCUGCACUUAGCUCGAAAACAUAAGAAGAAGAAGGAUCAAUGAAUUGGAGAAGAAGAAGGAGACGGGCUUAUAUGUUAUGUUGAAUUGGAGAAGAAGGAGACGGGCUUAGAGUAGUAGAGAAGAAGAAGGAGACGGGCGGGCGGCGGCGGCUAGGUUUCCACUUUCCAGAACCAGAAGAAGGAGAAGCUGUUAUGUUGAAUAUAUACUGGGGUAGGAUAGGAAUAAGAUAUAUUAGUGGGGGUAGGCUGGUAAUUUAUAUUAUUGAACUCGAGCUAUUCGGCUCGGCUCGAAUAAAGCUCGGGCUCGGCUCGANNNNNNNNNNNNNNNNNNNNNNNNNNNNNNNNNNNNNNNNNNNNNNNNNNNNNNNNNNNNNNNNNNNNNNNNNNNNNNNNNNNNNNNNNNNNNNNNNNNNCGAGCCUUAAAUCUGUUCAGCUCGGCUCGUUUUACAAGAUGUGCGAGCCCGAGCCGAGCUUUAAUCGAGUCGAACACGAGCCGAGCUCGAGCUGCUCAGCUCACAUAACACCCCUAGUAGUAAACCCCAAGAACGACUUAACAUGGUAAUUUCAUUGAUUGAAAUAACAUAUAGUUUAAUUUGUUUAAAUUUGUUAAGUUUUUUUAUUGGUAUUGAUUUUCUAAGUAUGUUUGAUGGAAGAUGUCAGCUAAGGAUGAAUUGAGCGUAGGAGAUAGGAUAUUUCUUUUGAUCAUUGUACAAGCGAAACAACAGCAUGAGCGGUUUGAGAAACAAGAAUAUCACAAAGUCUAAAACUGCACAAG
rnacentral:lncRNA from 1 species